rnacentral:rRNA from 1 species
GCUCAGAAGCAGCCACUCAUUUAAAGAGUGCGUAACAGCUCACUAGUCGAGAGGUCUAGCGCCGAAAAUGUCCGGGGCUAAAACACACCACCGAAGCUACGGAAUUACCUAUGGUAAUUGGUAGAGGAGCAUUCUGUAAGGAUGAAGCACAAUUGAAAGAGAGUGUGGACGAAACAGAAGAGAGAAUGCCGGAAUGAGUAGCGAGAUAUAUGUGAGAAUCAUAUAGGUCGAAUGUCUAAGGUUUCCUGGGUAAAGCUGAUCUGCUCAGGGUAAGUCGGGACCUAAGGUGAGGGCGAGAGCCGUAAUCGAUGGACAACAGGUAGAAAUUCCUGUACUACGUAUAAUCAGAACUGUGGGGACGCAGGAGGAUAGGAAAACCGGAGAAUGGAAAAAUCCGGCUAAGUACAAAGGUGUGAGUGAUAGGCAAAUCCGUCACUAUUAGCUGAAGUACGAAUGGGAGCGAAGAAAAGUAGCGAAGUUUCUGAAUCCACACUGUCAAGAAAAGCCGCUAUUGCGUUAUACGUACCCGUACCGCAAACCGACACAGGUAGACGAGGAGAAAAUCCACAGACCGACGGGAGAAGUGUUGUUAAGGAACUCGGCAAAAUGACCCCGUAACUUAGGGAUAAGGGGAGCCAACGCAAGUUGGUCACAGAAAAGAGGCUCAAGCGACUGUUUAGCAAAAACAUAGGUCUAUGCGAAACCGUAAGGUGAUGUAUAUGGGCUGACACCUGCCCGGUGCUGGAAGGUCAAAAGGAGAGGUUAGCGUAAGCGAAGCUUUGAAUUCAAGCCCCAGUAAACGGCGGCCGUAACUAUAACGGUCCUAAGGUAGCGAAAUUCCUUGUCAGGUAAGUUCUGACCCGCACGAAAGGUGUAACGAUUUGAGCACUGUCUCGACAACACGCCCGGUGAAAUUGAAGAACCAGUGAAGAUACUGGUUACCCGCAACAGGACGGAAAGACCCCAUGGAGCUUUACUGCAGCUUAAUAUUGGGAUUCGGUAUUGUAUGUACAGGAUAGGAGGGAGACUAAGAAGCUAGCACGCCAGUGUUGGUGGAGUCGAUGGUGGGAUACCUCUCUUAUAAUACUGAAUUUCUAACCUACUUCC